GCGCAGCUGCAAGACAGAGACACGCCACCAUGCGAUGAUUCUUCUUCCACUCGCAGGCCUCCCACUCUAGUAACUCUUUUUCUGCUCCAGCAUAGCAUAGCUGGUGAUUUGUUUCUUGGAAUUUGGAAGAGGAAGACGAUGAAGCGUGGUGGUUAUCUAUCAAUAUGCCUUGUGUUCUAGUUGUACUUCAUAGCUAGUUUCAUUGUAUUUUGUACUGGUCUAGUUGUAUGAACAGUAUGUAAAGAUUGUAAUAGGCUACACUUAUUGGUCUGGUUGUAUUUUUUACUGGUUUGGUUGUACUGGUAUGGUCAUUUCAAGUA